AGAACGAACGCUGGCGGCAUGCUUAACACAUGCAAGUCGAACGAGACCGCUGACUUCGGUUGGCGUGUCUAGUGGCGCACGGGUGCGUAACGCGUGGGAAUCUGCCCUUAGGUACGGAAUAACUCAGAGAAAUUUGUGCUAAUACCGUAUGAUGUCGCAAGACCUAAAGAUUUAUCGCCUAAGGAUGAGCCCCGCGUAAGAUUAGCUUGUUGGUGAGGUAAAAGCUCACCGAAGGCGACGAUCUUUAGCUGGUCUGAGAGGAUGAUCAGCCACACGUGGGACUGGAGACCACGGCCCAGACUCCGUACGGGAGGCAGUCAGGUGGGAAUAUGGACAAGUGGGACGAAAGCCUAGGACUCCGAGAC
rnacentral:rRNA from 1 species